AAUACAUUUUAGCACAAACAUGCCUGGUAUUUGUGUACUGAGAUACAUUUCCGUAUAACUGUGUGAGAGGACAGCUCAGAUACCCACACGUAAAUGGGACUUGCCUUUAUUACAACAUUUCUAUAUGCUUGCUAUAGUGUUGAAAAGCUAAAUUAGCCAUCUAGCUCCAUUUAACAACACUUUGGAAGCAAACAUGCACCUUUAACUCUUCAAACAGGCUUUCUUGUGCUGAUGACUUGCUCAUCUCCACCAAACAUCAGCAUGUUCAGGAAAAUCCUCCACACCUGCCAUUCAGGAUGGAGCAAGGAGGCAGCUGGCACUGCUCUUGAUGUGCCCGGUGCCAAGCAAAGCCCUCAGUGGCUGGGGGAGGCUGCGGAGGCCCCAGCUGCAGGCAAGAGGCACCAACAGAGGCUGGAGAGCAGCUGAGCUGAUGGCAGGGCAAUGGGAGCAGGUGGAGUUGGUUACCCUGAUCAGGAGCUAUAUAACAGCCGGGGAGGGGGGAAUGGGGUGGUUUAGCUCAGCCCAACCUUGGUUUUGCUCUGGAUGUGAGGGGUCUGUGCUGGUUUCCAAUUGGUUGCUGAUGCAACUGUUGCUGCAGCAAGGAAAGUUGCAGCUGGCGUUGAUGAAGCUUAAUGAAGUUUAA
rnacentral:lncRNA from 1 species